GAUGAACGCUGGCGGCGUGCCUAAUACAUGCAAGUCGAGCGAACAGACGAGGAGCUUGCUCCUCUGACGUUAGCGGCGGACGGGUGAGUAACAUGUGGAUAACCUACCUAUAAGACUGGGAUAACUUCGGGAAACCGGAGCUAAUACCGGAUAAUAUAUUGAACCGCAUGGUUCAAUAGUGAAAGACGGUUUUGCUGUCACUUAUAGAUGGAUCCGCGCCGCAUUAGCUAGUUGGUAAGGUAACGGCUUACCAAGGCGACGAUGCGUAGCCGACCUGAGAGGGUGAUCGGCCACACUGGAACUGAGACACGGUCCAGACUCCUACGGGAGGCAGCAGUAGGGAAUCUUCCGCAAUGGGCGAAAGCCCGACGGAGCAACGCCGCGUGAGUGAUGAAGGUCUUCGGAUCGUAAAACUCUGUUAUUAGGGAAGAACAAAUGUGUAAGUAACUAUGCACGUCUUGACGGUACCUAAUCAGAAAGCCACGGCUAACUACGUG
rnacentral:rRNA from 1 species